UGGGGAAUAUUGCACAAUGGGCGAAAGCCUGAUGCAGCGACGCCGCGUGAGGGAUGACGGCCUUCGGGUUGUAAACCUCUUUCAGUAGGGACGAAGCGCAAGUGACGGUACCUGCAGAAGAAGCACCGGCUAACUACGUGCCAGCAGCCGCGGUAAUACGUAGGGUGCGAGCGUUGUCCGGAAUUACUGGGCGUAAAGAGCUCGUAGGCGGUUUGUCACGUCGUCUGUGAAAUCCUAGGGCUUAACCCUGGACGUGCAGGCGAUACGGGCUGACUUGAGUACUAGAGGGGAGACUGGAAUUUCUGGUGUAGCGGUGGAAUGCACAGAUAUCAGGAAGAACACCGAUGGCGAAGGCAGGUCUCUGGGUAGUAACUGACGCUGAGGAGCGAAAGCAUGGGUAGCGAACAGG
rnacentral:rRNA from 1 species